rnacentral:rRNA from 1 species
AUACGGAGGAUCCGAGCGUUAUCCGGAUUUAUUGGGUUUAAAGGGUGCGCAGGCGGGAGAUUAAGUCGGCGGUGAAAUUUUGCAGGUCAACUGUACAAGUGCCUUCGAAACUGGUUUCCUUGAGUGUAGAUGAAGAAGGCGGAAGUUGUGGAGUAGCGGGGAAAUGCAUAGAUAUCACGAGGAACUCCGAUUGCGCAGGCAGCUUACUAAACUACUACUGACGCUCAGUCUCGAAGGCGUGGGGAUCAAACUGGAUUAGAUUCCCUGGUAGUCCACGCAGUAAACGAUGAAUACUAGCUGUUUGCGAUACAAUGUAAGCGGCUGAGCGAAAGCGUUAAGUAAUCCACCUGGGGAGUACGUUCGCAAGAAGGAAACUCAAAUGAAUUGACGGGG